rnacentral:lncRNA from 1 species
CAUAUAUACCAUGCAUCUUCUAUUUCUGUUUUAGAUCUUUGAGGACUUCAGUGUCACAAAACUUUGAUCUUGGCACCUUUUGUAGUUACUAAGAAUGGAACAAAUGAUAAUUAAGAUUCCAUUUACUUGCCAGGUGUGGUGGCACACACCUGUAGUCUCAGUUACUCAGGAAGCUGAGCCAUGAGGUUUGCAAGUUUGAGGCUAGCCUGGUGACAAUGUUUCAAGAUAAAAAAUAAAAAGGGCUGGGGUAUAGUUUAGUGGUAGAAUACUUGCCUAGCAUGUGCACGGCCCAGAGUUUGAUCCCCAAUACAACAACAAAAAAAAUCCAUUUAUUUUAAAAAGCUGACAUCUCAUAGCUUAUCCAGCAUAUCUUAAGACUAGAACUAGAAGUUAGGGAUCCUUUCUGAGGUUCUCUAAUACCCAUCAGUGAAAAUUGGGAAUCACGCUAGUCUCAAGGCUAGGUUAGAUUAGAUUAGAAUUUAAUCUAGCAGAGAUUAGAAUUUGAUGUUAAGUCUCAAUAGUUUAUUUUCUAAACCUAAAUCAUUGAUAAAAUAAUGCCCCAUUCAUUCAUUUCAUUCAUUCAUUCAUCCAUCUCUUACUAUAGGCCAGGCCCAUGCCUAAACAAAACAGUUUUACAGAGCUUAAAAUCUAGCAGCAUCACUAACACUCCCCCACCCCCUGCAAAAAAAAAAGAAAAAUAAUAAGAAGAAAGAUAAUGAAAGCAAGAAAGACAGAAGUCUCUCAUAUGUAAGUGACAAGAGAUCUAAGUAGAAAGUAUAAUUUUCCCCAGUUUUGGCAAAGGCCAGGGUGCCAGAACAAAAACAAAUGGAAUAGUUCAAGGAUAGCCAUCUCUCUCACCCCCAUUAAUCUUUAAAAACAAAGCAAAACAAAAACAACAGAAAAGCGGGAAUCUUGAGGAUAAAGAAUUUUGAGGAUAAACCUAGGAAAACCAAGGAUAAAACAAGGUCUGAGAAUUCUUUGCCUGGUUCUCUGGAUGUAAACCUGAAACUGAUAAGUAGGCAGAAGGUGGAUCAAAU